rnacentral:rRNA from 1 species
UACGAAGGGGGCUAGCGUUGUUCGGAUUUACUGGGCGUAAAGCGCACGUAGGCGGAUCGUUAAGUCGGGGGUGAAAGCCUGUGGCUCAACCACAGAAUUGCCUUCGAUACUGUUUGGCUUGAGACCGGAAGAGGUUAGUGGAACUGCGAGUGUAGAGGUGAAAUUCGUAGAUAUUCACAAGAACACCAGUGGCGAAGGCGGCUGACUGGUCCGGUUCUGACACUGAGGCGCGAAAGCGUGGGGAGCAAACAGG